UACGGAGGGGGCUAGCGUUAUUCGGAUUUACUGGGCGUAAAGAGCGCGUAGGCGGUUUUUCAAGUUGGAAGUUAAAGCCCAGGGCUCAACCCUGGAAUCGCUUCCAAAACUGUAAGACUAGAGAGUGAUAGAGGAUGGCGGAAUUCCUAGUGUAGAGGUGAAAUUCAUAGAUAUUAGGAGGAACACCAGUGGCGAAGGCGGCCAUCUGGGUCAUUUCUGACGCUGAGGCGCGAAAGCGUGGGGAGCAAACAGG
rnacentral:rRNA from 1 species